rnacentral:pre_miRNA from 1 species
AUACUUAGGGCCUGGACCAAAGCCCACUGGAAGUCAAUGGGAGUCUUUCCACUGACUUCAAAGAGGUCUGGAUCAGGCCCAUACAU